CACGUAGGGUGCGAGCGUUGUCCGGAAUUAUUGGGCGUAAAGAGCUCGUAGGCGGUGUGUCGCGUCGGCCGUGAAAACCUGCAGCUUAACUGUGGGCUUGCGGUCGAUACGGGCAUCACUGGAGUUCGGCAGGGGAGACUGGAAUUCCUGGUGUAGCGGUGAAAUGCGCAGAUAUCAGGAGGAACACCGGUGGCGAAGGCGGGUCUCUGGGCAGUAACUGACGUGAGGAGCGAAAGCGUGGGGAGCGAA
rnacentral:rRNA from 1 species